rnacentral:tRNA from 1 species
GGUCCUGUGGCUUAACCACCGUGUGGUGAAGCCUGGUUAAAGCGCCGGUCUUAUAAACCGGAUAUCGUGGGAUCGAAUCCCACCAGGACCACCA